UAGGCGUAAAUAGAUGCGAGUUAAGUGUGGGGCGAUCUACGAGAUGGCCCUCGUGCUGUAGGGUAGCCGUUAAACUCGCUGCCUGGGGAGGUACGGUCGCAAGGCUGAAACUUAAAGGAAUUGGCGGGGGGAGGCACCACAAGAGGUGGAGGCUGCGGUUCAAUUGGACUCAACGCCGGAAACUACAUCGGGAGCGACAGCAGUAUGAUUGCCAGGUUGAUGACCUUGCUUGACAAGCUGAGAGGAGGUGCAUGGCGUAGUCGUGU
rnacentral:rRNA from 1 species